GAAACGACCCGCUGAAUUUAAGCAUAUUACUAAGCGGAGGAAAAGAGGAAAAGAAACUAACCAGGAUUCCCCCAGUAGCGGCGAGCGAAGAGGGAAGAGCCCAGCGCCGAAUCCCCCGUCCCCUAGCGGGCGCGGGGAAAUGUGGCGUACGGAAGUCCGCAUCGCCCGUCUCGGGCCCGGGGGGUCCUUCUGGUGGAGGCUCAGCCCGUGGACGGUGUGAGGCUGGCCGCCCCGCCGGGGCGCGGACUUCUCGGAGUCGGGUGGUUUGGGAAUGCAGCCCAAAGCGGGUGAUAAACUCCAUCUAAGGCUAAAUACCGGCACGAGACCAAUAGCGAACAAGUACCGUAAGGGAAAGUUGAAAAGAACUUUGAAGAGAGAGUUCAACAGGGUGUGAAACCGGCAAGAGGUAAACGGUUGGGGUCCGCACGGUCCGCCCGGGGGAUUCAACCCGACGGUGGUCGCCCCGCCGGCGCGCCGGCCUGGGUUCUCCACGGCCGCCGUCGGGCGCAUUUCCUCUGCGGCGGUGCGCCACGACCGGCUCUGGUUCGGCCAGGAAGGGCCCAGGGUCAAACGCGGCCUCGCCGCGAGCUUUACAGCGCCUCCCCCGCCCCGACUUCGCCGCUUACCGCCGGGGCCGUGAACGAGUCACCUCCGCGCCCUCCCUCGCCGGCCCCACGAGCCCUUCCUCUUCCCCGUCCCCUCCCGGGGGGCGGCGGCGAGGAGUCGGUGGCGGAGGUCGUGCCUGAGGGACGGGACCCCUCCGCCCCCGGCGCGGCUGUUGACUGGGCCGGAUUGUCCUCAGUCCGCCGCCCGACCGUGCCGCGCCGCCAGGGCGGGGACCGGCCCACGACCCGCAAAAAAAAGCAAAAAAAUUACCCCGCAAAGGGCGCUCGGGGUCCGCGGCGAUGCCGGCCACUCAACCGACCCGUCUUGAAACACGGACCA
rnacentral:rRNA from 1 species